AGACAUCGUUUACUAUUUCAAUUAACAUCCAAUUUUUUUUUGGUUUCCCUCUACUUUUUUCAUCAAAAUCAAACUUUUCCCUCUUUGAAAUAUUUUUUUCAGCUAUUAUCUUUUCAACCCUCAGGCCUAUCUCAGAAAAUCACCUUUGUCUCUCCCCGUCGUGAAGGCAAUUAGCCUCUUCUUCUGCUCUCAAAGGAGUUUCAAUCCAUCGGUUUUCUUUUAUCUUCUCAGGUUAAUCAUACAACAAAAGAAUAUGAAGCAGAUGAGGCAAGUCAUAAAGAAAGCAGAAGCAAAAAAGAAAGAGCAGUGGUUUUUCAAUGUAUAAAGGGGUGACAAAGUUUGAUGCACACUACAAUUUAACAGACACCAUCAUCAUAUAAGAUGGAAAGCUCGUAUCGGCCGAGUGGUUUGGAACAAGGACCUCUAUUUGGGGCCGUUUAGUUGGUUAUGUUGGCGAGGAUGUAGAAUCUUUAUCGUACAAAUUACUCGAGUACUUCAGAGCAGUGCUGUGAAAUUGGGAGUUUAAGAUAUGAAAUGGUCCUUACAAAAAAAAUGGCUUGACGCCUGCUUGUGUGAUUUUACUAAACAAGAAGGACAUGAUCCAAAAUAUUUCGUUUUUGUUUCCAGCAACAACGCAAAAAGAUACAGGCAAGUCACAUAAAGUUCAACUAUGCUCCCAAUAUUGAUGCUGUCAAUAUUAUAUUUCUUUUUCUUUGUGCAAUCUUUUCAAUGUACUCUAUGACUUUAGUGUUCUGAUAUACCAUUGGUUAGCCAUUCUCUGACUAAAAAUCGUGAUGGCUUCUCUUGACCAAAGUUUUUUAUGGCUUCUGUUUGGGUGCUACUACUUGUGAUUCUCUUUUGGUGAUUUUGCAUUUUUAUUUCAUAGUGUUAAUGACAAACCAAUAUAUAUUGCUUCUUCUAGCAUUGCAGUUUGAUAUGUUACUAAUGACAUGGUAGAUGUGCCCAACCUGUUGCUAAAAGUACUUACCUGUGUUCUUUUCUAGUUGAUAUUUCCAUUUGAUGACCAUUCAAAAAGGAUAAUCUAAUAGAGUAAAUAUGAACUUUACUUGGAACAUGGAAGCAACUGUGUCAUUGUACUGCAGAAAAACUGAAAAUUGAUUGAGCAUGGAGAGUAUUGCGGCUGCAAAUAUAAGGUAAUCACGUAAUAGGAGAAACAUUUUUUUGUAGUUGUCAUGUCCCUGUUUUGAGGGUGAUUCAGACUCGAGGGUUAUGUUUUAUGUUCUUUAAUAUUUCAUGUCGUUGUGGACUAGUAGUACAAGUUGUUUCAUUUUUAGUUUGUAUAUUUGGAUAUGAGAUUUGCAUCUCACUACCAUUCUUAAUCAUAUAUCUAGAUGUUGUUUGCACACCACGAUGACUGAAGCAAAAUUUCUCCCAGUGAUAGAGAAAUGAGAUUUAUGUUCUGCAUUUACGAAAAGCAGGGACAAAUUUAUGGAAAUUUAGUAUUUUUGAUGGAUAAGUAAGCAUGUUUCUUAUGCAUGUGUCAUGUUACUUUUGUAGAAUUGUUAUGAUAUUACUUUCUUUGUUGGAUUGGUUAUAGGAAACGAGUCAUGAUAGCAAAUGAAUGUCAAUCAAGUGCUUUUAUUAAGUUUAAAAUAUGGAAUACGGGUGAGAUAAGCAAAACAAAACCCAUGCUAUUGCAUGUACAAAUAAAUUGCUGCAUUUUCAAAUUGUUAUUCACCUAUACAGCUCUUAUGAUUUACAAUUGUUUUUUUUUUUGGUUUGGAAUCCUGCACAUUGUGAGUUAUUGCAUGAGAAUAAAUUUAUGCCUUGGCUUCUGUUUGAUCAAUUGCAGGUACUAGCAGAUACUAUUGCGCUAUAAAAAGUUCUGAUGUGUUGAUGAGAGUAGGUAGAGACUUCACAGAUCUUUGUGAAGGAAUGGUUCUAUUAGCAUAUUAUCUUAACUUUGCAGGUUCUGCAAUUAGAGCAUUUCUUAUGAAUCAAGUGCAUAGUUUUUGAAUGUUGCUUUAUUUUAACACUCAGUAAAGGGCUAUAUUUUAUUACCUUGUCAUGUUGAUAUCACUUUAUUUUAUCGUUUCUGGUCAUACACUAGGAUGUUCAAAACUUGGCAUGUAGAAGACUUCAUUUUGAUCAAGCGUUGAAGAAAAUGUCUUGUCAUUUGUUA